UCUCUUCUCACAAUCUCACUCACAUCUCAGCUGAACAGUAAAGAUCAUUUACACCUCACACUGACAACAUGCUGUGGACCCUCUGCACUCUCAUCACUGCUCUAACAUAUGUUGAUGCAGUGAUCGUGUUGACCCAAACACCUGCUGUCCACACAGUUUCUCCAGGUCAAGAAAUUGUUCUCAACUGCAACAUAGAGAGAUAUGAUGCGAAUUCUGUUAGAUGGUAUAAACAAGUUCCUGGAACGGUUCCUCAGUAUGUUCUAAGAUUUCAUCAUUCUAGCAGCUCACCCGGCUUUGGAACAGGAUUCUCCUCAGACAGAUUCAACUCUAAAUCCUCAUCAAACAUUGAUUACCAGUUCAUUAUCAAGCGAGCAGAGACAGGAGACUCUGCAGUGUAUUACUGUCAGACAUAUGAUGACUCUGCUUCUGCACCCGUAUCACAGUGAUUCAGGCUGUGACAAAAACCUCCUCAUUAGUACUUCUGCUUUUUAAGAAACUUUUACAUGCA